rnacentral:lncRNA from 1 species
CUACAACUCAUCAUGAUUAGCCUGUAGUUGGUCACUUGGCAGCCCAAACUGCUCCUCUGCUUCAGCUGCAAGGUUGGAGUAUCUCAGCCUUUUCCGUUCGUAUGCCUCGUCCAGAGCAUUCUCCCAGGGGACCAUCAGGACAUCGUAUUUAGUUGGAGCAGCCUUUUUCUCUAUACCCUGAGCAUUUCAGAAGCCUAACCAUUUGCCUGCCCAAUUUUUGACUUGCUUGAUUUUUGUGCUUCUACUAUGUAUCCCCACACUGACAUCAAGUGAAACAAGUCCAUCCCUCCUGCCUCUGGAGGCAAGCUGCCAAAUAGUUCCAUUAGCAUGCCUCUAGAGGCCAGGCAAUAACGUUGCUCAUUCUCUGCAAGUCAGAUGGGGAAGAGCUACUGCAACAAGGCACCACGGAGAGUCACUUUAGCAGUGCGAUUCAAUUGCAAAAGGUUCCUGGUUCCUGGAGAAAAGUUCCUCCAUUGGAAACGCAGCUGUAGUAUCAUUUUAAUAUAUUUUGUCGUAAAAAUAUGUUAAUUAAUGCUGCAGUUAGAGCUGCAACCUUAGUGAUUUUCUAAACACAUCCAUGAGUGCACGUCCAAACUCAGUAUUAUAACAAGAUGUUAGCUAUAUUUAUUGUAUUGUACGUACUUAUACUAGACUAAUGAAUGUU